GACGCUGGCGGCGUGCUUAACACAUGCAAGUCGAACGAUGAAGCCUAGCUUGCUAGGUGGAUUAGUGGCGCACGGGUGAGUAAUAUAUAGAUAACGUGCCUCUUAGUCUGGGAUAGCCAUUGGAAACGAUGAUUAAUACUAGAUACUCCUUCUAACUCUAAUGUUAGUCGGGAAAGUUUUUCGCUAAGAGAUCGGUCUAUAUCCCAUCAGCUAGUUGGUAGUGUAAGAGACUACCAAGGCAAUGACGGGUAGCGGGUUUGAGAGGAUGAUCCGCCACACUGGUACUGAGACACGGACCAGACUCCUACGGGAGGCAGCAGUGAGGAAUAUUGCACAAUGGAGGAAACUCUGAUGCAGCAACGCCGCGUGGAGGAUGACGCAUUUCGGUGUGUAAACUCCUUUUAUAUGUCAAGAAAAUGACGGUAGCAUAUGAAUAAGCACCGGCUAACUCCGUGCCAGCAGCCGCGGUAAUACGGAGGGUGCAAGCGUUAUUCGGAAUCACUGGGCGUAAAGGACGCGUAGGCGGGAUGCCAAGUCUGAUGUGAAAUCCUAUGGCUUAACCAUAGAACUGCAUUGGAAACUGGUAACCUAGAGUAUGGGAGGGGGAGAUGGAAUUAGUGGUGUAGGGGUAAAAUCCGUAGAUAUCACUAGGAAUACCGAAAGCGAAGGCGAUCUCCUGGAACAAUACUGACGCUAAGGCGUGAAAGCGUGGGGAGCAAACGGGAUUAGAUACCCCGGUAGUCCACGCCCUAAACGAUGUUCACUAGUCGUCGGGAUGCUAGUCAUCUCGGUGAUGCACUUAACAGAUUAAGUGAACCGCCUGGGGAGUACGGU
rnacentral:rRNA from 1 species